rnacentral:lncRNA from 1 species
GUCCGAAUAGUUUUAGGACAAUCUCGACCUAAAUCAAAAGAUUCUUAACCCUGCUCGCUGAUCCACUUUCCUCCUUCUGGGGAAGGAGGCCAGGAUAUGUUUCUGUACCCAGCUGCUGACAUGGCAGGAAGCAGUUCUCAGGGAAGUCCCGCAGCUGUCCUCUGGUAAUGGUGGUCAUAAAGCUGAAGCCUUCACCGGCCUCUGUGUACUGGAGGACUUGCACACCAACUGAACCUGCACGCUUGCAUAUCAGAAUUAGAGGACCGAUAAAGGAGAGAGCUGUGAAGGUUAGGACACUUUUUCCCUUAUAACAGCUACACUGGGGCCAAGAGUAGCUGAAGCACUAAUUGACUCAGCCAAUGCAUUUUCUACUAAACCUCAA